GACGAACGCUGGCGGCGUGCUUAACACAUGCAAGUCGAACGGAAAGGCCCUGCUUUCGUGGGGUGCUCGCGUGGCGAACGGGUGAGUAACACAUGAGUAACCUGCCCUUGACUUUGGGAUAACUUCAGACAACUGGGGCUAAUACCGACUAGGAGCUCCUGCUACAUGGUGGGGGUUGGACAGUUUCGGCGGUUGGGGAUGGACUCGCGGCUAAUCAGCUUGUUGGUGGGGUAGUGGCUUACCAAGGCUUUGAUGGGUAGCCGGCCUGAGAGGGUGACCGGCGACAUGAGGACUGCGAGACGGCGCAGACGCCUACGGGAGGCAGUAGUGGGGAAUAUUGCACAAUGGGCGGAAGUCUGAGGCAGCGAUGCUCGGAGCGGGAAGAAGGCCUUGGGGUGGUAAACCGCUGUCGCCUGUGACGAAGCGUGAGUGACGGUAAUGGGUAAAGAAGCACCGGCUAACUACGUG
rnacentral:rRNA from 1 species